CAAGGCGACGAUGCGUAGCCGACUUGAGAGGGUGAUCGGCCACACUGGGACUGAGACACGGCCCAGACUCCUACGGGAGGCAGCAGUAGGGAAUCUUCCGCAAUGGACGAAAGUCUGACGGAGCAACGCCGCGUGAGUGAUGAAGGUUUUCGGAUCGUAAAACUCUGUUGUUAGGGAAGAACAAGUAUCGUUCGAAUAGGGCGGUACCUUGACGGUACCUAACCAGAAAGCCACGGCUAACUACGUGCCAGCAGCCGCGGUAAUACGUAGGUGGCAAGCGUUGUCCGGAAUUAUUGGGCGUAAAGCGCGCGCAGGCGGUUUCUUAAGUCUGAUGUGAAAUCUUGCGGCUCAACCGCAAGCGGCCAUUGGAAACUGGGAGACUUGAGUGCAGAAGAGGAGAGUGGAAUUCCACGUGUAGCGGUGAAAUGCGUAGAGAUGUGGAGGAACACCAGUGGCGAAGGCGACUCUCUGGUCUGUAACUGACGCUGAGGCGCGAAAGCGUGGGGAGCGAACAGGAUUAAAUACCCUGGUAGUCCACGCCGUAAACGAUGAGUGCUAAGUGUUAGAGGGUUUCCGCCCUUUAUUGCUGCAGCUAACGCAUUAAACACUCCGCCUGGGGAGUACAGCCGCCAAGCUGAUACUCUAAGGAAUUGACGGCGGCCGGCACAACCGUUGGAGCAUGUGGUUUAUUUCAAAGCACCGCGAGGAACUUACCAGGCG
rnacentral:rRNA from 1 species